ACGCACUGCAAAAUAUCACUUUUUCAGUUUUACAGGAACAGUGUUCAAACACUGCCUUAUGAAAAAAGAGGUAUAAGUCCCUGAGUAGAAUGCACACAUCACAAAGCAGUUUAUCACAAACCAUCUCUCCAAUUUUUAUCUGAGGAUAUCUCCUACUUCCCCACAGGCCUGAAUGUGGUGCCGCAUGUCCCUUCGAGAAUCCAUCCAUGAUACACUUUCAAAACUGCGUAAUAGAAAGGAAGUUUUAUCUAUGUGAGACGAAUAGUCAUAUUUGUCACAAAGCAGGUUCACAGAAAGCUUCUUUCCAGUUUUUGUCUGAGGAUAUAUUUUCUAUUUCACCGCAGUCAUCCAUAUACUCCCGAAUGUCCCCUGGUAACUUUUUCCCCUAAUGGGAUUCCCCAAUCCUCUAUGAGAAGAAAAGUAUAACUCUGUGAGUGGAAUGCACACGUCACAAAGCAGCUCCUCAGAAAUUUUCUCUCCAGUAUAUAUCGGAAGAUAUUUCCGCUUUCACUGUAAGCCUCAAGGCAUCUCGAGUAUCCCUUAGCUGACUAACCUAAAACAGUGUUAGAAUACUGCUCAAUGGAAAGAGAAGCUUAACUGUGUGAGUGGACUUCACGUGACCUAGAGCAGUUUCACAGAAAGUUCCUUCUGGUUUUUAUCAGAGGGUAUUUCUUUUUUAGCAUAUUCUUAAGAGCAUUCCCAAAUGUCCUUUCUCAGGUUCCACAGAAACAGUGAUUUCAAACUGCUCAAUCCAAAGAAUGAUUUAACUCUAUGAGAUGAAUACACACAUCACAGAGCAGUUGCUCCGAAAGCUUCUGUCCAGUUUUCAUCGGAAGACGUUUCCUUUCUCACCAGAGCCUCUGUGUGCCACUUAAUAUCCCUUAACGGAUACCUCAAUGACAGAGUCUCUAAACUGGGCAACGUAGUGUAAGCUUUAACUCUCUGAAAUGAAUGCACACCUCAGAGAGCAGUUUCUAGGAAUAUUUCUUUCUGGGUUUUAUUACAGGAUAUUUCACUUUUCUCCAUAGUCUUCACUGCUUUGCAAAAAUAUCACUUUUUCAGGUUUAUAGGAACAAUGUUACAACACAGCCUGAUGAGAAAAGAGGUAUAACUCCCUGAGUG
rnacentral:lncRNA from 1 species